rnacentral:rRNA from 1 species
AGUGAACGCUGGCGGUAGGCCUAACACAUGCAAGUCGAACGGCAGCACAGUAAGAGCUUGCUCUUACGGGUGGCGAGUGGCGGACGGGUGAGGAAUACAUCGGAAUCUACUUUUUCGUGGGGGAUAACGUAGGGAAACUUACGCUAAUACCGCAUACGACCUACGGGUGAAAGCAGGGGAUCUUCGGACCUUGCGCGAUUGAAUGAGCCGAUGUCGGAGUAGCUAGUUGGCGGGGUAAAGGCCCACCAAGGCGACGAUCCGUAGCUGGUCUGAGAGGAUGAGCGGCCACACUGGAACUGAGACACGGUCCAGACUCCUACGGGAGGCAGCAGUGGGGAAUAUUGGACAAUGGGCGCAAGCCUGAUCCAGCCAUACCGCGUGGGUGAAGAAGGCCUUCGGGUUGUAAAGCCCUUUUGUUGGGAAAGAAAAGCAGCAGGUUAAUACCCCGCUGUUCUGACGGUACCCAAAGAAUAAGCACCGGCUAACUUCGUG